CCUACGGGAGGCAGCAGUAAGGAAUAUUGGUCAAUGGAGGCAACUCUGAACCAGCCAUGCCGCGUGCAGGAUGACGGCCCUAUGGGUUGUAAACUGCUUUUAUACAAGAGAAAACCCUGGUACGUGUACCAGGUUGAUAGUAUUGUAAGAAUAAGCAUCGGCUAACUUCGUGCCAGCAGCCGCGGUAAGACGAAGGAUGCAAGCGUUAUCCGGAUUCAUUGGGUUUAAAGGGUGCGUAGGCGGACUGAUAAGUCAGUGGUGAAAUCUCUUUGCUUAACAAAGAAACUGCCAUUGAUACUGUCGGUCUAGAGUAUAGAUGACGUUGGCGGAAUAUGACAUGUAGUGGUGAAAUACUUAGAUAUGUCAUAGAACACCGAUUGCGAAGGCAGCUAACGAAACUAUAACUGACGCUGAGGCACGAAAGUGCGGGGAUCAAACAGGAUUAGAUACCCUGGUAGUCCGCACCGUAAACGAUGAUUACUCGUUGUUGGCGAUAUGACAGUCAGCGACCAAGCGAAAGCGAUAAGUAAUCCACCUGGGGAGUACGCCGGCGAACGGUGAAACUUAAAUGAAUUGACGG
rnacentral:rRNA from 1 species